rnacentral:rRNA from 1 species
GAUGAACGCUAGCUACAGGCUUAACACAUGCAAGUCGAGGGGAAACGAUGAGAGAGCUUGCUCUCUUAGGCGUCGACCGGCGCACGGGUGAGUAACGCGUAUCCAACCUACCCAUUACAGGGGGAUAACCUUGCGAAAGUAAGACUAAUACCCCAUGGCAUUUUAUGGUGGCAUCAUUAUAGGAUUAAAGAUUUAUUGGUAAUGGAUGGGGAUGCGUCUGAUUAGCUUGUUGGCGGGGUAACGGCCCACCAAGGCAACGAUCAGUAGGGGUUCUGAGAGGAAGGUCCCCCACAUUGGAACGGAGACACGGUCCAAACUCCUACGGGAGGCAGCAGUGAGGAAGAUUGGUCAAUGGGCGAGAGCUUGAACCAGCCAAGUAGCGUGCAGGAUGACGGCCCUAUGGGUUGUAAACUGCUUUUAGAGGGGAAUAAAGUGAGCUACGUGUAGUUUAUUGCAUGUACCCUAUGAAUAAGGACCGGCUAAUUCCGUG